GGAUUCCCCUAGUAACUGCGAGUGAACCGGGAAGAGCUCAAAUUUUGAAUCUGGCGGUCUUUUGGCCGUCCGAGUUGUAAUCUAGAGAAGCGUCUUCCGCGUUGGACCGUGUAUAAGUUUCCUGGAAAGGAACGUCAUAGAGGGUGAAAAUCCCGUCUUUGACACGGACUACCAGGGCUAUGUGAUGCGCUCUCGACGAGUCGAGUUGUUUGGGAAUGCAGCUCAAAUAGGGUGGUAAAUUCCAUCUAAAGCUAAAUACAGGCGAGAGACCGAUAGCGAACAAGUACCGUGAGGGAAAGACGAAAAGAACUUUGGAAAGAGAGUUAAACAGUGCGUGAAAUUGCUGAAAGGGAAACGCUUGAUGUCAGUCGCGUUGUCUGGGGAUCAACCUUGCUUAACGGUGAGGCGCACUUCCUGGUCGACGGGUCAGCAUCAGUUUUGAGCGUCGGAAAAGGGCUCAAGGAAAGUGGCACUCUCUCGGGAGUGUGUUAUAGACUUGGGUCUUGAAUACGAUGGUUGGGACUGAGGAACUCAGCACGGCCUGCAAGGGUAUCGGGGCUUUGGCCCACGUUCGCGUGCUUAGGAUGCUGGCAUAAUGGCCUUAAGCGACCCGUCUUGAAACACGGACCA
rnacentral:rRNA from 1 species